UGCCAGCAGCCGCGGUAACACGGGGGGCGCGAGCGUUAUUCGAAAUUAUUGGGCGUAAAGGGCGCGUAGGUGGUCUUGUCGGUCAGGUGUGAAAGCCCGGGGCUCAACCUCGGAAUAGCGCUUGAUACUGAACUGCUUGAGACCGGAAGAGGGUAGUGGAAUUCCCAGUGUAGAGGUGAAAUUCGUAGAUAUCAGGAGGAACACCGAUGGCGAAGGCAUCUCUCUGGGCCGAUAUUGACGCUGAGGCGCGAAGGCGUGGGUAGCGAACGGGAUUAGAUA
rnacentral:rRNA from 1 species